UACCAAAUUCAAUACUUGCUGUUUUUUGUACCUCCAGUGAGAAAAAUGAAAAGAAGAAGGACAGAGACUCUCAGAUCCAUCUUGUGUCAGGAACUUACUUUCACUUGCUGCAGUGAAUACUGACCGAGUCUCUGAGAAACUCAAGGAAAUGCAAAAAGUGUUGCAGCCAUCCCCACUCUCCCCCUACAAAAGAUGAUCUGCUGCCAUCUGGUGAUAAAUAAUGCUAAAUCUGUCACCUGUUUACUUUGUGAGAAGAUGCAAUGGAAUGAAACCUGUUGACUGAAUCAUUCAGCCAGCGUCAGUGAACCAUCUCAUCUCAACCGAUCAUGAAAACACGGAUGAACAUCGGAAGAUAUGCUGAAAGACACUGUACUUCAUAAUAUUUAUCAUCUCACUUGUAAUCGAGACAUUAACAAAGACAUUUUCGUCAUGUUAGGCAUAAGAUUAAUGAAUGUAUACAUAUUGUAAACUCAGUUACUUUUCCUGAUAUAGCCUUCAGUAAAUUCACUUAAAGGGUUUGUUCACCUAAAAA